UUGCUUUUCCCCCAGGAUCUGAAACAAGAACCAAAUGCAGUGGUGACUAGCUUUCAGCUUUUGAUCCCUGAGCGCACGCAUAUGGCUGCUGAAAGGAGUGGAGGAGAUGAGAGAGUGAGAAAGUAUUCCCUGCGCGCAUCACUGAUUGCCGCCGUACGUACGUCGAAUGGAACCGGAGAAAGGAGUGGCUGGAGAUCACUGGCGCGUACACCGCCCAUGCCGUCGGAAUCGCAUUCCCCUCCCACUCGCCUCCUCUUUAUAACACACACACACACACACACACACACACAGCUCGUGAAGCAGAGCUCGGCUCUCGCACAAGCAAGUAUCAAGUCCCGGGCCGGUCUCUACUGCGAUGCCAUGAUCGGAGACAUAUCCUCCCGUACAUCGUGGGCGAGGAUGAACAUGACGAUGAGCUACCUGACGAGGAGCCGGCGUUUUUGCCGGUUGAACGACCUCACCAUGUUGACCGCCUCUUCCUCGACAAGUGCCAAGGAGAUCUGCGUGUGCCACGAUGAGGUCGUUCAACCAGCAAAACAGCGGCGGUCAUCAUGUUCUUGAGAACUGGGUCUCACCCCAUUGGCUAGGCCUGCAAGGAGUGCAGUUAGCCCACCCGCGUCCGGCCAGCCGGCGUCAGCGGUGGCGACCCCAGAGUCGGCAAAGUGUACCUCUCCACGGCGUCGUGUGGGCCUGCGGCGUAGCAGUUGGUGAUGGCGAAGCGGCGCUCGGCUCCGGCUCCUGUUUUCAAGAAUGAGGAUUUUGGUUCUGCACAUGAAGUAGUGAGUGUAUGAUUGUGUAUGCGGAAGGCAAAAAGAGCCUCCGAGAUGAUACCCAUGAUUUGCUCUAGCUCGAGCCUCUAUGAUUUGUUUGUGUGUCGUCUGAUUGUGCCAAUGUGUUCUCGUUUAUGAGCC